rnacentral:rRNA from 1 species
GAUGAACGCUGGCGGCGUGCCUAAUACAUGCAAGUCGAGCGAACGGACGAGAAGCUUGCCUCUCUGAUGUUAGCGGCGGACGGGUGAGUAACACGUGGAUAACCUACCUAUAAGACUGGGAUAACUUCGGGAAACCGGAGCUAAUACCGGAUGAUAUUUUGAACCGCAUGGUUCAAAAGUGAAAGACGGUCUUGCUGUCACUUAUAGAUGGAUCCGCGCUGCAUUAGCUAGUUGGUAAGGUAACGGCUUACCAAGGCAACGAUGCAUAGCCGACCUGAGAGGGUGAUCGGCCACACUGGAACUGAGACACGGUCCAGACUCCUACGGGAGGCAGCAGUAGGGAAUCUUCCGCAAUGGGCGAAAGCCUGACGGAGCAACGCCGCGUGAGUGAUGAAGGUCUUCGGAUCGUAAAACUCUGUUAUUAGGGAAGAACAUAUGUGUAAGUAACUGCGCACAUCUUGACGGUACCUAAUCAGAAAGCCACGGCUAACUACGUG